GACGAACGCUGGCGGCGUGCUUAACACAUGCAAGUCGAACGGUGAAGCGCCUUCCUUUUUGGUGGGUGUGGAUGAGUGGCGAACGGGUGAGUAACACGUGAGUAACCUGCCCCCUUCUUCUGGAUAACCGCAUGAAAGUGUGGCUACCACGGGAUAUUCUGAGUCUGUUGCAUGAUGGGUCUGGGAAGGAUAUUGUUUCGGUGGGGGAUGGGCCCGCGGCCUAUCAGCUUGUUGGUGGGGUGAUGGCCUACCAAGGCGGUGACGGGUAGCCGGCCUGAGAGGGUGGACGGCAACACAGCGACUGAACGACCGCCCAGCCUCCGACAGGAGGCAGCAGUGAGGCAUAUGGCACGAUGGGCGGAAGCCUGAAGCAGCGACGCGGCGUGAGGGAUGGUGGCCUUAGGGUUGUGAUCCGCUAUCGGCGGUGAAGCAGGCUUGCCGCGAUUGUGCGUGGGUUGACGGUAGCUGGUUAAAAAGCCACGGCUAACUACGUG
rnacentral:rRNA from 1 species